CAUCCGUGAAACUGGCACAGCCCCUGCAUCGAGAAAACCGACAGAUCACAUAAGCAUUGCCUUCAACGUGGAGGGCAGUGUUUCCCGACAGAACGGGAAUGGACAAAGGCGUCCUCGCUGGGUAACCGGCGGGACGCC
rnacentral:sRNA from 2 species